rnacentral:lncRNA from 1 species
CCCUCCCCUGUUAGUUGUGCUGGAAAUUAUACAAUGUAACCCCUGAUGUGUAUGUACUACGACAACGUUUUUUUAAUAUUAAAAAAAAAAGAUUAAAUGCAAAGAGAAAAAUGAUGGAAGAAAUGCUAAGAUUUACGCAUAAAAAUUCAAAUGUUAAUAAAAAUGAAAUAUAUAAAAAUUGGAAAACUGUUUGAGACUAUAAUCAACUGAGGACAAAUUAU